UACGUAGGGUGCGAGCGUUAUUCGGAAUUACUGGGCUUAAAGGGUGCGUAGGCGGCGCAGUAAGUUGGGUGUGAAAUCCCUCGGCUUAACCGAGGAAUUGCGCCCAAAACUACUGUGCUCGAGGGAGAUAGAGGUGAGCGGAACUUAGGGUGGAGCGGUGGAAUGCGUAGAGAUCCGGAAGAACACCGGGUGGCGAAGGCGGUCUGCUGGGCAGUAGCUGACACUGAGGCGCGACAGCGUGGGGAGCAAACAGG
rnacentral:rRNA from 1 species